UUAAGGGUAGCCUAGUGGACAUGGCACCUGCCCGGUAAGCAGAAGGUUGUGGGUUCGAUUCCCGCCCCUGAAC
rnacentral:tRNA from 1 species